UACGGAGGGUGCAAGCGUUAUCCGGAUUCACUGGGUUUAAAGGGUGCGUAGGUGGGUCUGUAAGUCAGUGGUGAAAUCUCCGUGCUUAACAUGGAAACUGCCAUUGAUACUAUAGGUCUUGAAUUUUCUGGAGGUAAGCGGAAUAUGUCAUGUAGCGGUGAAAUGCUUAGAUAUGACAUAGAACACCAAUUGCGAAGGCAGCUUACUACAGGAACAUUGACACUGAGGCACGAAAGCGUGGGGAUCAAACAGG
rnacentral:rRNA from 1 species